rnacentral:rRNA from 1 species
AGCUUGCUAGAUUGAUGGCGAGUGGCGAACGGGUGAGUAAUACAUCGGAACGUGCCCUGUAGUGGGGGAUAACUAGUCGAAAGAUUAGCUAAUACCGCAUACGACCUGAGGGUGAAAGUGGGGGACCGCAAGGCCUCAUGCUAUAGGAGCGGCCGAUGUCUGAUUAGCUAGUUGGUGGGGUAAAGGCCCACCAAGGCGACGAUCAGUAGCUGGUCUGAGAGGACGAUCAGCCACACUGGGACUGAGACACGGCCCAGACUCCUACGGGAGGCAGCAGUGGGGAAUUUUGGACAAUGGGCGAAAGCCUGAUCCAGCAAUGCCGCGUGUGUGAAGAAGGCCUUCGGGUUGUAAAGCACUUUUGUCCGGAAAGAAAUGGCUCUGGUUAAUACCUGGGGUCGAUGACGGUACCGGAAGAAUAAGGACCGGCUAACUACGUGCCAGCAGCCGCGGUAAUACGUAGGGUCCAAGCGUUAAUCGGAAUUACUGGGCGUAAAGCGUGCGCAGGCGGUUGUGCAAGACCGAUGUGAAAUCCCCGAGCUUAACUUGGGAAUUGCAUUGGUGACUGCACGGCUAGAGUGUGUCAGAGGGGGGUAGAAUUCCACGUGUAGCAGUGAAAUGCGUAGAGAUGUGGAGGAAUACCGAUGGCGAAGGCAGCCCCCUGGGAUAACACUGACGCUCAUGCACGAAAGCGUGGGGAGCAAACAGGAUUAGAUACCCUGGUAGUCCGCGCCCUAAACGAUGUCAACUAGUUGUUGGGGAUUCAUUUCCUUAGUAACGUAGCUAACGCGUGAAGUUGACCGCCUGGGGAGUACGGUCGCAAGAUUAAAACUCAAAGGAAUUGACGGGGACCCGCACAAGCGGUGGAUGAUGUGGAUUAAUUCGAUGCAACGCGAAAAACCUUACCUACCCUUGACAUGCCACUAACGAAGCAGAGAUGCAUUAGGUGCUCGAAAGAGAAAGUGGACACAGGUGCUGCAUGGCUGUCGUCAGCUCGUGUCGUGAGAUGUUGGGUUAAGUCCCGCAACGAGCGCAACCCUUGUCUCUAGUUGCUACGAAAGGGCACUCUAGAGAGACUGCCGGUGACAAACCGGAGGAAGGUGGGGAUGACGUCAAGUCCUCAUGGCCCUUAUGGGUAGGGCUUCACACGUCAUACAAUGGUGCAUACAGAGGGUUGCCAAGCCGCGAGGUGGAGCUAAUCCCAGAAAAUGCAUCGUAGUCCGGAUCGUAGUCUGCAACUCGACUACGUGAAGCUGGAAUCGCUAGUAAUCGCGGAUCAGCAUGCCGCGGUGAAUACGUUCNCCGGGUCUUGUACACACCGCCCGUCACACCAUGGGAGUGGGCUUUACCAGAAGUAGUUAGCCUAAC